rnacentral:piRNA from 1 species
UAAUAGAUUGGUAUCCUGAUGCAAUUGCA